rnacentral:rRNA from 1 species
AGUGAACGCUGGCGGUAGGCCUAACACAUGCAAGUCGAACGGCAGCACAGUAAGAGCUUGCUCUUACGGGUGGCGAGUGGCGGACGGGUGAGGAAUACAUCGGAAUCUACUUUUUCGUGGGGGAUAACGUAGGGAAACUUACGCUAAUACCGCAUACGACCUACGGGUGAAAGCAGGGGAUCUUCGGACCUUGCGCGAUUGAAUGAGCCGAUGUCGGAUUAGCUAGUUGGCGGGGUAAAGGCCCACCAAGGCGACGAUCCGUAGCUGGUAUGAGAGGAUGAUCACACACACUGGAACUGAGAAACGGUCCAGACUCCUACGGGAGGCAGCAGUGGGGAGUAUUGGACGAUGGGGGAAAGCCUGAUCCAGCCAUACCGCGUGGGUGAAGAAGGCCUUCGGGUUGUAAAGCCCUGUUGGUGGGAAAGAAAAGCAGCAGGUUAAUACCCCGCUGUUCUGACGGUACCCAAAGAAUAAGCACCGGCUAACUUCGUG